rnacentral:rRNA from 1 species
UACAGAGGUCUCAAGCGUUGUUCGGAUUCAUUGGGCGUAAAGGGUGCGUAGGCGGCGCGGUAAGUCGGGUGUGAAAUCGUCGGGGCUUAACUCCGAAACUGCAUUCGAUACUGCCGUGCUUGAGGACUGGAGAGGAGACUGGAAUUUACGGUGUAGCAGUGAAAUGCGUAGAUAUCGUAAGGAAGACCAGUGGCGAAGGCGGGUCUCUGGACAGUUCCUGACGCUGAGACACGGAAGGCCAGGGGAGCAAACGGG